ensembl:rRNA 5S_rRNA 5S ribosomal RNA
GCUUACGGCCAUACCUCUCUGGCUCCGCCUGAUCUCGUCUGAUCUCAGAAGCUAAGCAGAGUAGGGCCUGGUUAGUACUUGGAUGGAAGACCGCCUGGGAAUCUCCAGGUGCCGUAAGCU